rnacentral:lncRNA from 1 species
GUAAUUUAUUUCUCAGGGAUACUUUGUCCCUUCCUAGAGGCAUCUGUAUCAAGUGAAGAAACAUCAAAAAUUGGUAUUCUGAUCGAGAAAAGACAUAGAUGAGCUGGUGGGCUGGUAGUGGCUGGAGAAGCAGCAAGAAGAGCGGAGAAUCAAAACCCAAGCUCUGUCACCAGAGGAAAGCAAACGCUGCUUACAAAGCCAUGUCCAGCUCUGGUUCUCUCACCCUGUGUACUGAUCAGCCUGUCUGCAGAGAGCCUUGUGGUGCAGAAUUCUGUUUUAAUUUUUUUUUUUUAACCCAGGUGCAAGUUCCCACCACCGUUCAUGACCUGCUGUUUUAGAGGAUUUACUCUUCUAAGAUUGCUCCUGGCUUUUCUCACAGUAUGACAAGAAGAGCAGCAUCCAGCCUGUGUGUUACUAACACAUCUGCUCCUGGCCCUUCCCUGUGCACCUGCAGCAGCAAAGGCAGAGCCCGCUGACAUUGACUCCAUGUCCAGGAAAGUCUAGCCAGGCUCAUGUAACUCUUGAAUGGGGCAGGAGGAGGGCAUAACUCUUCUCAAAAUUUAUUAUUGAGGUCUCCAUGCUCUGGUCUCAUUAAAGCUGCAGUCAGUGCCGUUUCUGACAACGCAGUUGCACUGAGCUGUGCAACUGCACCACCAGUAUACAUGUUUAAAAAAAUAUCCUGUCAGAAAUUUCCUAAAAGAACAUCCUGUAGCUGGUGGUUUUGUGCCAAACAUGCUUCUACCACCACCUGAAAACCCACAUAAUGAUAAGAGAAUCUUCUUCCCAUGAGAGACAACUGGGCUGGGAAGUAUCCAGGAUUGUCUUAACAGGUGGUAACACUGGAUGGACAGUUGGAGGGAAGGAAUCAUUUCUACUAGUAUAAAAUGACUAGAGAGACUUAAAAAAUAUUUUCCUAAUAGGAAAUAGUCUUUCAAAACCUCUUCUGGAAGGCACUUACUAACAUACUACCUGAGUACUGUGUCUGAAGCAGAUCACUUGCUGACUUUCUGGGUAGGCUGUGAAAUUCUGAAACUUGCCUUAUUAUGUACAAUUCAAUGAUGCACAAUCACUAUAUAUUCCUCCUCAGCCUUGAUUUUCCAUUCUGUGGCUUUGGAUGAAUUCUGGGGGAAUACCUUUUUCCCAGGAAGUUUUUAGUGAGGC